rnacentral:sRNA from 1 species
AGAACCCGAAUUCCAAGAUGACCUAUGGAGUACAUGAAGACUGCUGGAUGGUGGGGACCCUGGGUGAACAGCAGAAGGAUGGGAGGGAGACUAGAUGCUCCAUGAAACCAGACUAGACCAGUCAUUCAGCACACUGAACCAGCAUCAGAAACGGCGUCAGGUAGGCACCGGUUUACAGGGUAGCUCCAUCAAUAAAUAACUGCACGAUGCAAUGGAUAGAUGCCAGCUCUCCUGGGAAAACAACAUUUCAAUUAAAUGCACGGAACUAUGUUAGGACAAAUGCUCUGCCAGAGAAUCUACCUUUUCCCAAAGAAGAUGAAGAGGAGAAGGAAAUGUUGAGGAGGAAGAAAAGACUAAAAACUGGAGAAAAACAGGAGAGAAAGAAAAUGAGAAGGAAGAGGAAAUGUCCACAUAGGAAGUUACACUCAGUAACCCUAGAGUUCUUUUUGGGAGGGAAACUGGAUGGAGAUAUAUGUCCUUUUGAACCUUUUAAUUGUACCAUGUAUUUAAUUUAUAACCCAUUUUAAAGGGUUUAGUGUAUAUAAUUGGGUGAUGGAAGGGUUUCCUGGCACAUGAGGUCCUGGGUCAGUCCUGGUUCUGCAAAGGUAAAGCUUGGUAUUGUGGUGCGCGCCUCUCAUCUCAGCACUCUGAGGCAGAGGCUGGCAGUUCUCCGUGGAGUCCUGCCUGGUCUACAGAGUGAGUUCUACUAGGGAGAGUACAUGAGACCCUGUAAAUAAUAAAAAUAACAACAAUAACAAAGCAAACAAAAUAAGACCUGUUUUUACAUUUUUAUCCAACUAAUCUGGUAGACAAGUUUCAAAGCAGGGUGCUUCAUAUUCUCACCUUUACACUAGUGAAAAUUCAACCUGUUUUAGCAAAGUAUAUAACAUUCUCAGAAGAGUGACUACCUAUAAGCUUAGCCAACAAUACACUAUUUCGUCUGUUGACUGAGCUCCUCUCCUUGGGUGCAGUUGUGACAGCAAUCACUCCUGACAGACGGAAGGUAAAGACAGGAUAGCACCAUCAAUUCAAGAGCAGAAUGGUCUACAGAGCGACUCAGAGAACUGCCAGGAAUAUGGACACAGUUAAACCUUGUCUCAGAUCUCAAGGCUUCCAUAACUCUUGUUAUGGUUUGAAAAUAAAGUUGCCGACAAUUUGAAAA